GGGCGUGUGAGUGGUGUUUGGUUUGUUGGGGUGGCAGGCUCCGUGCUAGUGCAUCGAACUGCUAGGCCACAUUCCACUUCAAUAAGUCGAGCAUGGCCAUUUGUCUUGCUCGUGGAAUUUGUGUUCCUGUAUUGAAUACCCACAAUGUUGGUAAUUGAUUGGUGACGGUGUUAAUUUUCGCUUGGUGCCUCAAGUUGGGUGCGAGUGGACAAUGUAGCUUUGGGCUAUUGUCUUGGGCAUGCCUAAUAGGUAGCUGCAGACAAGUUAAGCCUAAAGUUGGUGCUUUUGGAUGCGGAAUAUUUUGAGGUCAGAGGGAUUUAACCUUCUAUUGGCCCAGUAUGAGAACAUCUCUUGAUCGCACGACCGCCUUUGCCUACUUCGAUUCUUUCAUGUACCAACGGUGCUUGUGGAUUCGUGUUGGCAUUGGCGUUGCGAAAGGAAUGCUACCUGGUUGAUCCUGCCAGUAGUCAUAUGCUUGUCUCAAAGAUUAAGCCAUGCAUGUGA
rnacentral:misc_RNA from 1 species